AAAUGCAUCAGUGCACCCUAAACUUGCUGGUUAGGACCAAAACGGUCCUCAAACUCUGUAACUGCAUCAUUACAGUCCUAAUACUUGGUCAUACGGUGUGAGUACGGUCCUCGAAUUUGGUCCAUCGGUCCUAGAGUUCGUGCAUCAUACGAAAUCGCUGUACAGAGGCGUAUCCGACUGGCCACGUCGUCCGUUUGUAGGGCCCACUUGUUAGUUGACUAGUCACGGUGGGCAGAAAUCCCCAAUUCCCUCUCAAAUCCCUACCUCUCGCCACACUCCCAGCAGCCAGCGGGCGCUCAACCAAAUCCCCGCCGCCGACCACACUCCUUCGACCAAAUCCCCGCCGCAGUACGUAUUGCUGGCAGCCAUGGGCGGCGCAAGCGUGGCCGUGAGCUCGGUCUCUGGCGAGGGCGGCAGCCUCGUCUUGUCUCCCCCGUCGGUCUCAGGCGUGGCCGCUGCCCCGCCCGUCGCCGGCCGUGGCUCGACCGUCCGUCGCCUGCCGUGGCUCCACCGCCCGUCGCCGGCCGUGGCUCCACUGCCCGUCGUCAGCCGUGGUUACUGAAGGAGGUCUGGCGCCAUGGACAGCCUUGUCUUCGACCGGAGACGUGCCAGGUUUCCUCCGGCGGACGGCCUCCAUGGAUGAGCUGGAGGCUCGCUAUCGCGGUCACGUGCUGCUCGCGACGGCUGUCGGCGUCGGUAGCUCAGCGGUGAUGCCCUUGCGCUUUUGGCGGCCAUGGAGAAUAAUUGCGGCGUCCUGCCGUCAGAGGAGAAGGGGAGGACCUCACUCGAACCCAUCAGUUCACCGCAAUCCUGGCUCCCGUGAUGCUUGAUGACAAGUUCAUCAACUGUGUGUCCUGUUUCUAUGUUCAUCAAGAGCAUGUACUUGUGUAUCCUGUUGCUAUGUACUUUGGCUGAAUCAAUACAAAAUUGCACCUGAAAA